GGUUCCCUGGGGUGUGCGAGAGCUCGUCUUGUGAUUGAUCCAACAUCAUCACGAGAGGGAGCCGAGCUCCGGUCCUUCUUUGAGCAAGCCCUCCACGCAGAGGGAAGCCUACCGAUGACCGGGCCAGCACCCACCUGCUGAAAGCGGGUUCAAAUCUCCGGCGGGUAACGGCACUUUGGGGAAGCG
rnacentral:other from 1 species